GGCUCGGUGGUCUAGGGGUAUGGUUCUCGCUUAGAGUAUGAAGGGUCCCGGAUUGAAAUCCCGACCGAGCCC